rfam:Amphimedon queenslandica AMPQTscaffold_13518_Cont350, whole genome shotgun sequence.
CAACCGGCUUUUUUCAAAGCCAUCAUUCCAGUGAUGAUGCAAUUG